CCUUUCAUUUGGCUUUUAAACAAAGGAAGAAAAGCUUGAAACAUGCUCUGAACAAACGGCUCUAUGUAAUUAGCACGAAGGAAGAAAGAUCAGUAAACACAAAGUCAUCACAGCUCUACUGAGACCCACCAGAGAUAGAUCUCCCAUUUUCAACUCUGCUGACAUUGCACCCUGCUUGGCUACAGCAACAAUCCCAAUUAAAGCAAUAGGGACAAUUUGGAGGACAACUUCAAGCACAUUGAGGCCUUUAUAUGCAACACUGCAACUGCGGCAGUUCAGCACAUGGGACCUGUACCUGAAAAACGUCGUGAAAAAUAGUUUCGAUGAGCUAUUUCUCAUAAUUGAGACAGCUAGUUCUAAGGACCACCACACAAAAAAGGGGAAUAUGAUUGUAUUGAUAAGAGUAGGAACUUUCUAAAUCUUCUAAGAGCAUCUCCAAUAAUGUUCUUUA